GAGUUUGAUCAUGGCUCAGGACGAACGCUGGCGGCGUGCUUAACACAUGCAAGUCACGGGGGCCCGCAAGGGUAACCGGCGAACGGGUGCGUAACACGUGAACAAUCUGCCUAGAUGUGGGGGAUAGCCGGCCCAACGGCCGGGUAAUACCGCAUACGCUCUUCGGGUGGCAUCAUUUGAAGAGGAAACCUCCGGGGCAUCUAGAGGAGUUCGCGGCCUAUCAGCUAGUUGGUGGGGUAACGGCCUACCAAGGCAAUGACGGGUAGCUGGUCUGAGAGGAUGGCCAGCCACAUUGGGACUGAGAUACGGCCCAGACUCCUACGGGAGGCAGCAGUGGGGAAUAUUGCGCAAUGGCCGAAAGGCUGACGCAGCGACGCCGCGUGGGGGAUGAAGCAUUUCGGUGUGUAAACCCCUGUUGCUCGGGACGAACAAGCGAUUUCGAUCGCUCUGACGGUACCGGGUGAGGAAGCACCGGCUAACUCCGUGCCAGCAGCCGCGGUAAC
rnacentral:rRNA from 1 species